AACACAGACAGAUGGACACAGCUAGGCUAAUUCAUCAUCCUGCUCCACAGACCUGCAAAGUGUGCCAAGUUUUUAGCACUUUUUUUCCAAACUGCUACUUUAAUAUUUGGGUCCAGUGAAAUGUCUAAGCGUUCAAAUUAAUUACAGACGUUUUUACACGUUUUUGAGUAAUGAGGGAGAUGGAAGUAGACUGGAGAAGAAGGUGCUAAGUAUCCUGACUGGUGUAUUCGAACCCUGUCAUCGUGGUCAAAUCCUUUUUGCCUCUCAAGUCUGCUGACGUAUGUGACGAGCUACUGGGCAAUCUGGUAACAGCGGAGAAGCCGUCCACACAAUGGAAAAAGUUACCUCCUGAUGGCCUGAGGGCGGGAAGGGUUUAUAUGGAGAACAGAAGCUUGGAGAAGAGCAGCUCCCUCCCCCAGUGUAAUGGCGGACGGCUGGCUGGCUGGCUGGCUGGCUGGAUACAGAUGUCUGGAGCACAUGAUUCACGCUCCAGACGAGCUAUUGAUUUGGUCUGGGUCCCUGCUCUGAUUUAUUGUGUCAUUUUUGUUUAUAAAGGUAGAUCGAGAACACGAGUGUUUCGAUUUAAGUGUGCAAAAUAAAAGCAGCGUGGAGCAACGCUGCCGUCUGGCCUGUGAUGAAUUGCAGCAUCCGGAACCCAAGUUUGAAGCCGGCGAGAGGAUUGUCUUCAUCAGACAAGGCAAGACAGGACGUCCAUCACACGACGACCAUCCAACACAGAGACUCAAUAACGCCACAGAAAGCGCUGAAAUGAAGGAAUGCUGGAGGGGGAGGCAGAAAACCUUUGUUUUUAGACCACGAAAAAACUUCUGAAUAGUGACAUAUAUGGCCUUCAGACUUGAAAGCCGAUGAGAAUGGAGGUCUUCAAAUGCAGGUUUGAUUGCAUAUAAUGUUGACCUUUUAAUAUUAGUAUUAUUACUGAAAAAUACAACUGUUUAUCAGUGGUGUAAAGUAACUAAUUACAAAUACUCAAAUUACUGUAAUUGAGUAGUUUCCCUCAAGAAUUGUAAUUUACUUAGUUUUAUAAAUGUGUAUUUUUACUUUCCCUUAAGUACAUUUUUAGUGCAGUAUUGGUACUUUUACUCACUACUUUAUUUUUGGGGGGGAUUAGAAAAAUCAGUGCUGUGAUUCCUGUCACACAUAGAAGGUAAAUCACGUAAUGAACUACCUCAAGACAUAGGCGAUUUAUAAAUUCAGCAAACUGUUUGGAAGCAUUAAAAGUGUCCAAAAACUUUACACGCAUUUACCCAGAGACUGUUUAGAGGCAUGUCACUGAUGAGAAGAUGACGGAUGUUUACUCAGGGUAUAUCCAGGAUUCCUAAAGGUAAUUUCAAUACCUUUUUAAGAUUUUUUUUAAAGACCUUCUCAGAAUGUUCAACACAAUCUUACGGCAAUUCGUAACAUGAAAUCCACUUUUUGAUUUAGUGGCUAAUUCGUAUGAAUUCGUGUGAUCUAAUUCGUACAAUUUAGUACGAUUUGCUCAUCCCCUAAUGAUGGUUGGGUUUAGGGGUGGGGUUAGGU